GAGUCACCUCCUUAUUUAUAGACUAGGGGGCGUCACCGCUCCACAGGUUCCAACCCCGAGGCUUGGCUUUGCACUCCUCCCCCGCCCCGCCCCGAGACCCUCGGGCCAACCCUCUCCUCGAAGGCAUCUUUCCCGCUGCCAGUCACCCGGUAUCACCUCCCAGAUCCACGCUCGGCUGGUCCUGAAGUGUCAGAGUGUUAAAUGUGCCUGAAGUGUUGAGGAUGGAGGGAAGGGAAGUCGGGGUAAGGCCGCAUGAAUUGACUCCAAGAAAAAUGCUUUGCUUAGAAAGGAAAAAAAAAAAAACUUUUAAGGAUGAAUUAGGGAACUCCCUUGUCUUUGCUGUGACUAACUCAAAAAUUGACGCCUUUGUUGUGAAUCACAGAUGGCAUGGAUUAAUUUCAGAAUUGUAAAACAAAAGAGCUGAUUAUUAGUUCCUCCUAGUUUACGUGUGGCUUGACUGCAUUUAUUUAAAAAAUAAAAAACGGACUGCCAAACAAACAAAGCAGCCCAAAGACAUUUGAGAACAAAAUGAACUCAGUCCAGAAAGAAAGAAAGAAAGAAAGAAAGAAAGAAAGAAAGAAAGAAAGAAAGAAAGAAAGAAAGAAAGAAAGAAAGAAAGAAAGAAAAUACAUUCCCAGUGCAUUACUCUGAUACCAAACUCAGGCAACACAGUACAAGAACACUUCAGACUAACAGCUUCUGUGAAUGGAGACGCAAAUCCUCAAUGAAAAGUACUAGAGAUUCAAAUCUGGUGAAAAUAAAGAUAAUGAGAUCAGGAUGUGGCUUUUCAAACGGCAGAGGUUCUGUUUUACAAGCAGCACUGACUCCAUUUUGGGUGAAAACGCACAAGUAGAAUUUACACCUUACUGUGCCUGUAAACACCAUCUGCCUGGCACCAGGCACAAGGCACACACAGAUUAACAACUUGUUCCUUAAAGCAGAAAGGUCCCCACUAUUUAAAAAAAAGAAGUAAAUGGGGGCUAUAGCCACACACGCUGAUGUUACUAUCAAACCAGGAAAACCAGGCUAGCAGGGGUGCAGCUCCCUCAUCUGACCCCCCUGAAGAGAAGGAGCCCUAAGGCUUCAAAGGACCUUAUCUUACCAACCUCCCUGCAGCAAAGAAUUCCCAACCAUCCUAGGACCUUCAGCUUGCCUCAGUCCCUGCUGUGAUGUGGCUGUUCCACUUGAAGUGAUAUAAUCUGCCCGUUGUCUGUCUUUUCCUGCCACCCAACUGUCCUCUAGCUUGAGUCUUCCAUUCAGCAUCCAAAGCCUCUGCCAAUGGCUCAGCUCAAACCUUGAUUCUCAGCAGCAGACCUUCAGCGCUGGGUAUCUUAUUACCACAGAGACCUUUUUUGAUCCCUUGAGCUACCCUGUCUGCUUCUCAAGUGCCUAUGCAAUUCCUUAAGCCCUGCUUGAUACUCUUCAAUCCUACACAGCGGAUCCAUAAAAAGCAUAUAUAAAAUGCUUAUAUAUUGCUUGAUGUGUAGUGCAUAAUCUGAAAGUUAAUAUUCAUAGAUAAGAUUAGAAUAAAAGAUUCCGUGUUUCUGUAUCUACCUUGUCGGGAAAUAGAGACUACUUGUCAAAUUGAUGCUGACAAAGAAAGUCAACAUACCUUCUGAAUUUAUUGUUAGUUAAUAAAUUCUGACAUUGUGAAAAGUACCGGGUAUUUUAGUUGAGUCUUUGAAAAACAUACAAACUCAGUUUUAAAGAAAGGUGGUGGUCUUUUAGUGUGGGACCUGAAAGAACGAAAUGGCUAGAAGGAAACCUAAGCAGUACCCUCCGAGACACACGUUCAGGAAAGGACUUCCUGAACUUUGGACUCCGUUUGCUCCAAAAUUAAGACCAACAAUUGGCAAAUGAAACCUUAUAAAGCUAAAAGUCUUCUACACGGCGAAAGAAACAGAAACAAUAAAGUGAGAGAGGUGGGGGCCCACAGAGUAGGAGAGAAAUCCCUGCCAGCUAUACAUCUGACAGAGGAUUAAUUUCCCAAAUAUAUAAAAGAACUCAAAAAACCAGAGUCAAGAAAACAGACGGCCCAAUUUAAAACUUGGCCUCUGGAUCUGAACAAAGAGUUCUCUAAAGAAGAAAUUUAAAAAAAGAAAAUGGCUAAGAAAUAUAUUAUAAAAUGUUCACCAUCCUUAGCAAUCAGAGAAAUGAAAAUCGAACUACUCCGAGAGUCCAUCGUACCCCAGUCAGGAUGGUGAAGAUCAAGAAAACAGCUGGCGAAACUAUUGCUGAGGAUGCAAGGGAAAGGGAACCUUCAUUCACUGCUGUUCAGAACGCAGACUGGUGCAGCCAAUGUGGAAAUCAGUAUGGAAAAGUCUCAAAAAUCUGAAAGUCAGUCCAGCAUGUGGCCCAGCUACAACACUCCUUGUCACAGUCCCAAAGGACUGGACAUCCUACUCCACUGUGCUUGUCCAUCCAUGUUUAUAGCUGCCCUAUUCAUACUACCUAGGAAAUGGAAACAAUCUAAAUGUCCUUCAGCUAAUGAAUAGAUGAUGAAAAAGUAGUUCAUACACACGAUGCAAUACUACUUAGCUCUGAAAAAAAAAAAUAAUGAAAUAUGUAGCUGAAUGGAUGGAACUAGAAAAUAUUCCACUGAGUGAAUAUUCAUUCAGAUGUAAUUCGUUCAUUCAUUAUGAGGGGUAACCUGAAGUAUGCUAAGAAGCCAGGAAAACAGAAGGAGACCGUGGACAGAGGAGAGGAGAAGCCCUAGAAAGGGCGUGAGCAGGAGACCCGUGCUACAAAUGGGGUGAUAGAGAAAAUGGGGGAGACUUAUACUGGAGAGUAAGGAGGAAGGGUGAUACGGAGGAAAAGAGAAGAAGGAGAAAGAUGUAAUGGUAAGAAAGUUUGAAAAGUCCACAGAGCAACAUACUAUUUUAUAAUCUUAUUUUUGAAAUGUGUGUGCACGUGUGUAUGUGUGCGUGUACACAUUUAACAGCACACAAGGUGAUGAUGAUUUUCACAAGGGGCCACACACUACCUUGCAUUAACCCUCGUGGUAAGCAUGGGAAACCUUUCGAGUUGUUGGUCAGCGGUUACAAGAGUUUUCCAAAACAAUUUGAACUAUUGGCAGUGCCCUUGGUUGCCUUCCAGAGCUAGAAGGCAAGAUGCUAUUUCUGAAUACAUCACACGCUUUGGACACAGAAGUGAAGAAGUGUGUUGGAACUGACCUGCAAGCCUGAGGACCUGCUCUCAUGGUAUCAGAAGGUGACAGGUUUUGGAAAAACAUUGAUAAGAACAGAUGAAUACAGGGGAAAAAUCUUACUGUACUGAAUGACAAAUUCAGUUUCAGCUCUGGGUAUCGAAUUUUGACCUUAACAAAGGAUUCCCAUCGCUGUGAAGAGACUCCAUGACAUCACAAGAGGAAGCAUGGCAGCAGGCAGACAUGGCGCUGGAGCUGCUGAGAGUUCUACAUCUUGAUCUGAAGGCAGCCAGGAGGAGACUAUCUUCCUCACCGGGCAGAGCCUGAGCACAGGAGACCUCUCAAAGCCCACCUCCACAGUGACACACUUCCUCCAGUAAGGCCACACCCUCUAAUAGAGCCACUCCCUGCGGCCAAGCAUUCAAACACAUGAGUCUGUGGGGGCCAAACCUACUCAAACCACCACAGUAUCUGUAAACUGUGUAUAUUUUUAUUAUCGAGAUAGUUCCUUCCUGUGUUCUUAUUAUUAUUAUUAUAAAAUUUAUAAAUGUUUUGAUAAAAUUUAUAGACUAAAAUUUCUUUCUUCUUUUAAAAAUGUCUUUCUUAAUAAGGGAAUUAUUUGUAAAUAAACGCCAGGAAGCUGUAUCUAAAACACAGACAAACUGUCAGGCAACAGCCCUGGAACUCUUCUGUGGGUGUGUAAGUUCUAUGUAACAGGCACAUAGAAAGCACUUCCGUCCAACAGUUUUUACUUUUUAUUUGGACUCAUAAGGCACUUAAGGCAAAAUAAAGUUUCGGUGUUUGUGUUUUAUCUCAUUUCCAUUGAGCUAACCAUACUGCUAUAGAUAAGCUUGUUAAUCAUUUAACAAUGUUUUAACCUAAA